rnacentral:sRNA from 1 species
CUUUCUUCGGGUGAGGGAUAGCAGUGGAAAUCCUUUUAUGAAAUGCAAUGGAAUAAAAGAUUGCAACGUAUAGCCCGACCGAAG